CCUAAUGAUUGUUUUAAUAGUUCUUUAUACUUUACAGACCUUUCCUUUAACGCUGGGCAUGUUUUUGUUUUUUCACCAUCAUAAGUAAUAAUGAUGAACAUUCUUGUUAAAUCUUCAUGUAAAGGGGAAGUAACAACCAAAGACCAAGUACACUAAUAACUUAGAGACUAGAAGUUCAUCCACAAUUGUUCAGAUAGAUUCAGAAAAGGUUGAUUAUGUUCUAGUAAGACCUCCCAAAUGGAAUUUGAACUGGGUCUUGAUGGAAGAUGCUUAGGCAGGCAGGAUGAGUAAGAUUGGACAGGAUGAAAUGAAACUUGAGGCAGGAUCAGAGUGUAGGCAGAUUUGUCAAAAUCUGCUGAAGCACUUUGCAAAACAGCCAGGGAAGAGAUGAAAAGGAAAGUUGUUAGGGUGUUGAAUCAUUGUGUGGGAGACUCUCAGGGAGUGUAUGUUUUAGAUAUAAAAAGUAAAGGUUAUUGAGAGAUAUGACUGAGCGACGGUGUUGGAGGAGGUAGUGAGAAAUAAUCACCAUGCUUUGAUGCCUUUCUCUUUUUUAUGUUGAGGGUAGUUGGAAAAAGAGAGGUCAAGCAGUUUCGGUGAGAGGAGUUUGCAGAGGAAAAGUUAUUUUGGGGGAAAUCUAGGUUGCAUUUUGGGUGAGGUGAAAGGAGACUAGAAAAGGUAGAGGAAAAGAAGGGAUUUGGGCUGUUUUUCACAGAUGGAGUGUGGGUUCCAGAGGGUUCUUGAUGUUCUCUGAGUUUUCUCUAGUCCUAAAAGGUCUAGGCAGAUAAAGAUGAAAGAUUAAGUAUACUUCUAGGGUUGUGGUAAUGGUGAGGCUUCCAAGAGCUCAAAAACUUUUGAUACGGGCUGGGGAUGUGGC
rnacentral:lncRNA from 1 species